rnacentral:rRNA from 1 species
GAUGAACGCUGGCGGCGUGCCUAAUACAUGCAAGUAGAACGCUGAAGGAGGAGCUUGCUCUUCUGGAUGAGUUGCGAACGGGUGAGUAACGCGUAGGUAACCUGCCUGGUAGCGGGGGAUAACUAUUGGAAACGAUAGCUAAUACCGCAUGACAACAGUUAUUGCAUGAUAACUGUUUAAAAGGGGCAACUGCUCCACUACCAGAUGGACCUGCGUUGUAUUAGCUAGUUGGUGAGGUAACGGCUCACCAAGGCGACGAUACAUAGCCGACCUGAGAGGGUGAUCGGCCACACUGGGACUGAGACACGGCCCAGACUCCUACGGGAGGCAGCAGUAGGGAAUCUUCGGCAAUGGACGGAAGUCUGACCGAGCAACGCCGCGUGAGUGAAGAAGGGUUUCGGAUCGUAAAGCUCGGUUGUAUGAGAAGAACGAGUGUGAGAGUGGAAAGUUCACACUGUGACGGUAUCUGACCAGAAAGGGACGGCUAACUACGUG